rnacentral:rRNA from 1 species
GAUGAACGCUAGCGGCAGGCCUAAUACAUGCAAGUCGAGGGGCAGCACAGGUAGCAAUACUGGGUGGCGACCGGCAAACGGGUGCGGAACACGUACGCAACCUUCCUUCAAGCGGGGAAUAGCCCAGAGAAAUUUGGAUUAAUACCCCAUAAGAAUGUGGAUUGGCAUCAAUCAGCAUUUAAAGAUUCAUCACUUGAAGAUGGGCGUGCGUCUGAUUAGGUAGUUGGUGAGGUAACGGCUCACCAAGCCGACGAUCAGUAACUGGCGUGAGAGCGCGACCAGUCACACGGGCACUGAGACACGGGCCCGACUCCUACGGGAGGCAGCAGUAAGGAAUAUUGGUCAAUGGACGCAAGUCUGAACCAGCCAUGCCGCGUGGAGGAUGAAGGCCCUCUGGGUUGUAAACUUCUUUUAUUUGGGACGAAACACUUCAUUUUCUAUGGAGCU